GAUGGCGUGGGAGGAGGAAGAAGAGGGGGUGGUUUCUCCAACCUCUUUUCCGCCUCCCUUAAGUCCCAUCCCUUCUCCUCCUUCUCCGCCUCUU